UGCCAGCAGCCGCGGUAAUACGGAGGGUGCGAGCGUUAAUCGGAAUUACUGGGCGUAAAGCGCACGUAGGCGGUUUAUUAAGUCGGAUGUGAAAGCCCCGGGCUCAACCUGGGAACUGCAUUCGAUACUGGUAGACUAGAAUUUGGGAGAGGUAAGUGGAAUUUCAGGUGUAGCGGUGAAAUGCGUAGAGAUCUGAAGGAACAUCAGUGGCGAAGGCGACCUCCUGGACUGAUAUUGACGCUGAGGUGCGAAAGCGUGGGGAGCAAACAGGAUUAGAUA
rnacentral:rRNA from 1 species